rnacentral:lncRNA from 1 species
CGCGGACGGCUAGGGAGGAGGCGGGGUGCUCGCGGGACCCCGCCCAGGCUUCCCAGCGUCUUGGCGGGGGCCGGGGGCAUCCCCAGGGCACUGCGGCCGCAGUCCUGUCUGCUCCGACCCUCUCCUAUCACCCAGAAGUGGCCCGGCGGUUUCGGGCCGAGUCCGGGCUCUCUGUCCGCCUAGCGGGGAGCAGGACCGCGGCGUCUCGAGGCGGGGAGCCCCAAACUGAGUUUCGGCGCGGGCGGCGUGCGCGGUGAGGGGUGCGGCCUCUGCUCAGCCGGCCCAGUCCUUCCCACGAGGCCCCAGAGGAAGUCGCUGGAGCAAGGAAUCCGGACAUCUUACAAAAAACCGGAGCACUUGGGGCAGGCCUCUGCAUCCAGUGUCAGGUGGAAGGCGGCAGAUGGCGCGGGGUGGGGAGGCUGGGCCUGGUGGGGAGGCCGGCU